rnacentral:rRNA from 1 species
AUGAACAAUGUACACCCAUUGAACAUCAUGACAGACCAAGACAAGGCAAUGGAAACAACCAUUUAUGAAGCCUUACCAAAUACAGUGCAUAGGUGUUGCAAAUGGCAUGUCCAACGAAAAGCGAGAGAGAAGUUGGGCAGAAUGUUGAGCAGGGAUGAAGUUUUUGAGCAAGCUUUCUACACAUGCAUCAACAAUCUGGAAAUAGUUGAUGAGUUUGAGGAGAAUUGGCAUCACAUGAUACAUUGCUUCGAAUUGGAAGAUAAUACACACCUUUGCAACAUGUGGCGAACCCGGCAUACCUGGGCUCUAGCAUACUUCCGGAAAUGCUUCUUCCCAUUCACAAGCACUACAGGGAGGUCAGAGGGCCUCAACUCUUACUUCAAGACAUUCAUCAAUCCUCAAGAGUCAGUUUGGAAAUUUGUGCAGCAGUAUGAGGUGCUCCAAGAGACGAUGCUAGACCGUGAGGACAACCAGGUUUUCAUUGGUGAAGCAACAACAACACCUCUUUACUCGAGAUACAACAUUGAGCGUCAAGCAGUCAACUUCUACACCCGGGCUGUUUUUGGCAAGUUUCAAUCAAAAGUGAUUGCAUCGAUGGGAUAUGUAAUCAACCAGGUCCCUGCGCUUCACAAUGGAAUCAUUAACUUUGAGCUUUUCUCAAAUUACUAUGAAGACCCAAAAAUAUUCAAAGUAAAUGUUGAGAUGUCAGAUGAGAAGUUUGAGUGCAGCUGCAGCUGUUUUGAGAUGAAUGGAUUAUAUGUGCACACAUCAUUAGGGUGA